rnacentral:tRNA from 1 species
GAUCCGUUAGCUCAGCUGGGAGAGCGUCUGGGUGACAACCAGAAGGCCGGUGGUUCAAGUCCACUACGGAUCACCA